AGCUUGGGGAGCUGUCGCCGCCACUUACUCGAAGGCAAAGAAGAGUCCGCUAGUGACCAGGAUGAGGAUGAGCGUCAGCGACUGCUCAGCAGCAGAGGGACUGCGAGUCUGUCCACUCUACCCGCGCCUCCUUUCGGGUCUACCUGACAGCCCCGCUAUCCGGUGGUGCAACCCCCUGCCCUCCCGAGUGCGAGGCGCCUGCGCGGGAUCACAGCCCUCACUAAGAUGCUGUACAACAAACAAGCUAAUGGGACAACUCUGAGAUUGCACUGUUAUUAAAGGUCCAACUGGCAAGCUUCUGAGGUUUCCAGUGAAAGACGAUCUCUUAUGUUUUUCUGUCCUUUGGGUGAUGGAAUCAAGGAGAUGUUACUCUGUUCCAAAUGCCUUUCUUCGGGUAUCUAAUUAAUAUAAUCCAUCGUCUUGAUGGUUUUGAACAGACUGCCCCUCUUGGAGCUAGAGGUAUUAGCUAAACAGUAAAGAACUUGCCUCACACUCAUGAAGAUCUGAGUUCAAUCUCCACAACUGCCCCUAAAAAGAAAAAGAUUCCCACUCUUGUCCUCCAGCUGAACUUUUCAGACAUGGUUAUACUUCUUUAAAAGUCCUUAUAUGGUAGAGAUACAUAUUAAGGCAUUUGAAAGUGAAAUCACUAAGUCUAGCCAUUUACUUCCUAAAGACAUGAAGCUAUAGAGGCAACAAUACUGAAAACUGUUGAAAAUAGUUGAUAUCAGGUGAUGCAGCUAUAUCUAGUCCUUUAUUGCUGCAAAUCACUACAAAUAUAGUGGCUUUAAAACAACACAGAUUUUGUGAGUCAGGUAUACCCGCACACUGAGUCCUCCUUUUAGGGUGUCAUGCCUGCCACUUUGGUGUUGACUAGGCUAUGUUCUCAUCAUGUGGAGAACUCAUUCAGUGUUACAGUUUAGAUCUAAAAUGGACCUCAAAGCAUAGUGUUUGGAAGGUGAUUGGGUUAUGGAGGCAGUAUAGCUGUCUUGCUGUUAGGAGGCAGGCUCUGGUCCAAGGAAACUGGUCAAAGGGGGCCUGGUCUGGAGCAGUUUAACUGCACUAGGGUUUGUUCCCCUCUUCUCUGCUUCCCAACCUCAUGAGCAGCUUUUCCUC